CCUACGGGCGGCUGCAGUGGGGAAUAUUGCACAAUGGGCGCAAGCCUGAUGCAGCCAAGCCGCGUGAGUGAAGAAGGUCUUCUGGAUUUUAAACCUUUUCUGUCGGGGAGCAAAUGACGACACUCGUGACGUUCCCAGAGUACCCGAACAAAAAACAUCGGCUAACCCUGUGCCAGCAGCCGCGGUAAUACGGAGGGUUCAAGCGUUACGCGGAUUUAGUGGGCUUAAAGGGUGCGCAGGCGGUCGGAUUAGUUAGAGGUGAAAUCCCGGGGCUCAACUUCGGAAUUGCCUCUGAUACUGGUCGGCUAGAGAGUAGUUGCGGUAGGCGGAAUGUAUGGUGUAGCGGUGAAAUGCGUAGAGAUGAGACGGAACACCGAUUGCGAAGGCGGCCUAC
rnacentral:rRNA from 1 species